CCUCAUUCUGUGGGCCCUGCAGCCCAGGGCUACCUGGAAGUGGCCGCCAUUAAUAGUGCUCCCACAUCUGUCCCUAAAAGAGAAAAGGAACUUUCUGAGCCAGAGAUCUCCCCUGGAAUUCUUCACUCCUUCUGGAUUUCCAUCAUGGAGCUGCAACAGCUGAGUUCUGAGUGCUGUCAUUCCGUCUCAUGCAUCGGACUGAGAAAAGCCUGGGAACAGAACACUGUUAAAGUUACAGAAGAAGAAAGAAAGGAUGAACAGAGACCACGAGAAGGGCUCACCAUGCUUCUGACCUUUGGUGCUUUAAGCAGGAGGUAUCAGAAGAGUUAAAAGUUAC